rnacentral:lncRNA from 1 species
GGAUUAUUAAGAGAGAGCAGCAAUGGUUUUUGGAACUUGCCUUGUACCCAAACUCGCUGCAUUUUCACUUUUUUCUUCCUAUUUACUUGUAAUCGACGAUCAACUAAAUUCUGUAUUUCAGUUAAUCCAGCCAAAGUGAACAUGUUCUGUACCUCUUCUUUGGUAAAGAAAUAUACUCUGGUUCCAUCUCCUCGUACAUAAAAAUUUUCUGACAAGCAAUGACCUAUGAAAUUUGAACAGAAAAGUGAUGUUUGUGUUUUUCUCCCCGAAAACAAUAAAAAUAAACAGUAUGAUACAAAAGCAUUCAGGAUUUACCUUUUUUAAAACGAAGUUGAGCUGUAUCGUAUCUUCCAUAGUCUCG